rnacentral:lncRNA from 1 species
UUUACUCUCGGGGACCGGUCCCUGAUAGGAGAGACCGGUCCCCCAGUGAACAGUGCUGCGUAGCAGGCGAGGCAACCGGUCCCUGGCAGUUGAGACCGGUCCCCGAGCGCGUCUGCGCGGGGAGAGACCGGUCCCGCGCAGGGAGAGACCGGUUCCCGAACGUUGGAUUUUCAGGGGCAGGCUGAGAGACCGGUCCCAGGUCGGGGAGACCGGUCCCUCUGGGCGAAAACUGCCCAGUCCGGGCUGAUGUAAAUUUGAGUUUUUGAGGGGCCUAUGUGGAUUUUGUUACUUUAGAGGCUAUAGGCAGCCUCUCCUCCCCUCUCACUCUCAUUUUCUCUCCCUCACACUCUUCCUACACUUCUAGAGAGAGAAAGGGAAGGAGAAGAAGGAGAAGAAGAGGAGGAGGAGCUUGCAUAGAGGCCUUGGAGCAUCAUCUUCUUCCUCAUUUUCCACCUUUGGAGGCUUGGAGCAUGCGGUUGGAGCCUUGUGGAGGAUCAAACUCCAACCCUACUUGGUUUUGAGCUUGGAUUGGGGCUUCUCUUAAGGUUGGUAGCUUGUAAUCCCCAUUUGUUACUUGCUUUUCUAGGUUUUACUAGAUGAAACCCUAGAUUUUGGGAUUUAGGGUUUAUUUUGGGGGUUUUCGAAUUUGGGGGCUUUGAGGCCUAAUUGAUGGGUUUAGAACCUUUGUAUAGGUUAGAUUGGAAGACCUCUACCUUCCAUUUGAGGAUUUAGAGAGGGUUUUCCACUUGAGGUGAGUUUUUCCCAACCCUAGCUUGAGUUGGUUAAUGAUUGAGCUAUUUGCUCUUCAUUUCGUUUGGGUGACCCUAUUUUUGAUGUUUCUAGGGUACUAGGGAGCUUGUGGAUAUCUUCGUUCGGCGAAACGAAGAAGUCGACUUUUUGGUGGGUUUGGCUUCGUGGACAUGGGGCGAAAUGGCCCCUAUGCUCGUUCUACUUGUUGUAAAAUAUUUUUAAGUUCAUGUCUAUGCUAAAUGAAAUUUAUAUGAAUUUUAGAGCACUUAAAAUGCAUGCCUUGUGUAUUAUGAAAACUUCACUAUACAGUAGAGCUAUAUGAGUAGAAUGCAUGCAUACGGAAAAAGUGUUUAUUUUGCAAGUGAAAAAUACAUCUCUUAUGAGAAUUAUGACUUGGGAUAUAUAUACUUUGGAACAUAGUUGCCAUGCCUUGACAUAGAGAACAAGAGUGUCAUCAAGGGGCACUUGAAACCAGUAAACUAUGAAACUGCAACAUAGGGACAUAUUGAUAGGCCACUAUUAUCCGCUAUAUUCCAUGUUAGAGACAUGAUGACAUAGGGAUAGGCCGUUGAGAUACUUGACACAUUCCAUGUUAUGAGACAUGAGGACUUGGUACUUGCGACAGAUCGUUUGACUACUUGCCAUUGUGCUCAUUCGCACAUGCUUGUGAGGGUCGCUCCCUACAAGCCGGCACUCCGGAGAUGGCCAUCGCGAUUCAUAUUCGCCGUGCGGGAUUGGGCGCCGAAGUGGAUUGCCGUGGGACAGGCUCAUUCCUAGGGUGGGGAUGAUGACUACCACGGGGCCAUUAGGCUCGGCACCGGCCAGACAGCCUACGGGUGGGUCUCAGGGCCAUAGACAGCCUUCGGGUGGGUCUCUUCAGAUUUGACUUUGUGUAUCCAUUAUGACAUGUGGACAAAUGAGGAUUUAGUAUACUACUUGGACAUUGAUUAGAAUAGUAAACAACGGAACUUUACUAUUUCGCAUUGUGAACAUCAUGAUAGUUGGAGACAUUUACUUCAUGCAUAGUUGCUUUCAUACUUAUGCUAUUUAUGCUAAGUAGAGAUAUCAUGUCGUAGUAGGUUACAUUUUUACUUACCUUUCGCUUUUCUACUUUUAUAGCCACUGACAUCUUUUCGUAGCUUUGGGCCUUGUGGUGCAUUCACUGAAGUCAGUAAUUGCCCACUGGGAACUAUUUCUAAUAGUUCUCACGCCCCUGUUUUAUGGUUUACUUUUCAGAGCCUU